GAUGAACGCUGGCGGCGUGCCUAAUACAUGCAAGUCGAGCGAACAGACGAGGAUCUUGCUCCUCUGACGUUAGCGGCGGACGGGUGAGUAACACGUGGAUAACCUAUCUAUAAGACUGGGAUAACUUCGGGAAACCGGAGCUAAUACCGGAUAAUAUAUUGAACCGCAUGGUUCAUUAGUGAAAGACGGUUUUGCUGACCCUUAUAGAUGUUUCCGCGCCGCAUUAGCUAGUUGGUAAGGUAACGGCUUACCAAGGCAACGAUGCGUAGCCGACCUGAGAGGAUGAUCGGCCACACUGGAACUGAGACACGGUCCAGACUCCUACGGGAGGCAGCAGUAGGGAAUCUUCCGCAAUGGGCGAAAGCCUGACGGAGCAACGCCGCGUGAGUGAUGAAGGUCUUCGGAUCGUAAAACUCUGUUAUUAGGGAAGAACAAAUGUGUAAGUAAAUAUGCACGUCUUGACGGUACCUAAUCAGAAAGCCACGGCUAACUACGUG
rnacentral:rRNA from 1 species